rnacentral:rRNA from 1 species
UAUUACCGCGGCUGCUGGCACGGAGUUAGCCGGUGCUUCUUCUGCGGGUAACGUCAAUUGCUGUGGUUAUUAACCACAACACCUUCCUCCCCACUGAAAGUACUUUACAACCCGAAGGCCUUCUUCAUACACGCGGCAUGGCUGCAUCAGGCUUGCGCCCAUUGUGCAAUAUUCCCCACUGCUGCCUCCCGUAGGA